AACAGGAUUAGAUACCCUGGUAGUCCAUGCCGUAAACGUUGGGCACUAGGUGUGGGGUCCAUUCCACGGAUUCCGUGCCGGAGCUAACGCAUUAAGUGCCCCGCCUGGGGAGUACGGCCGCAAGGCUAAAACUCAAAGGAAUUGACGGGGGCCCGCACAAGCGGCGGAGCAUGCGGAUUAAUUCGAUGCAACGCGAAGAACCUUACCAAGGCUUGACAUACACCGGACCGGGCUGGAGACAGUCCUUCCCUUCGGGGCUGGUGUACAGGUGGUGCAUGGUUGUCGUCAGCUCGUGUCGUGAGAUGUUGGGUUAAGUCCCGCAACGAGCGCAACCCUCGUUCCAUGUUGCCAGCACGUGAUGGUGGGGACUCAUGGGAGACUGCCGGGGUCAACUCGGAGGAAGGUGGGGAUGACGUCAAAUCAUCAUGCCCUUUAUGUCUUGGGCUUCACGCAUGCUACAAUGGCCGGUACAGAGGGUGGCGAUACCGUGAGGUGGAGCGAAUCCCAGAAAGCCGGUCUCAGUUCGGAUCGUAGUCUGCAACUCGACUACGUGAAGUCGGAGUCGCUAGUAAUCGCAGAUCAGCAAUGCUGCGGUGAAUACGUUCCCGGGCCUUGUACACACCGCCCGUCAAGUCACGAAAGUCGGUAACACCCGAAGCCCACGGCCCAACCCUUGUGGGGGGAGUGGUCGAAGGUGGGACCGGUGAUUGGGACUAAGUCGUAACAAGGUAACC
rnacentral:rRNA from 1 species